CAGAAUAUAGUUAAAUUAUAAUAUAAAUUUUGGGUAUUUACGUUUUCAGUUAGAAUAUUCUGA
rnacentral:tRNA from 1 species